GCACUUACCAAAUGCCCGUGGCUCUUUCUAUGGUGGUGCUGACUGUAUUCAACCUCCCAGACCUCAAGAGCCAGGCUGAGCAGCUCUGCUACAUGAUGAGGGGUGUUUCCUGAGCAGGAGGAAGAUGACUAUAGGGGCAAGAAGGAGGUUGGAAGGAAUUCCUCGCAGGAACGCAUGCCCUGGGCGAGGGAGACGUGGCCUUCUGGCUUUCAGACUGCAGAGAUUCGUAGCUCUUUGCUUCAUGUUUUUUCA
rnacentral:lncRNA from 1 species